rnacentral:rRNA from 1 species
GAGUUUGAUCCUGGCUCAGAACGAACGCUGGCGGCGUGCUUAACACAGCAAGUCGAACGCGAACGGUUCCUUCGGCGAACGGGUGAGUAACACGUGAGCGACCUGCCCGGAGGCGGGGGACAACCCAGGGAAACCUGGACUAAUACCGCAUGCCGCGUCGGGGGUGGAGCCCCGACGUGAAAGCUGGCCUCUCGUAGAAGCCAGCGCCUCCGGAUGGGCUCGCGCCCUAUCAGCUCGUUGGUGAGGUAACGGCUCACCAAGGCCAUGACGGGUAGCUGGCGUGAGAGCGCGACCAGCCACACUGGGACUGAGACACGGCCCAGACUCCUACGGGAGGCAGCAGUGGGGAAUCUUGCGCAAUGGGCGAAAGCCUGACGCAGCGACGCCGCGUGGGGGAGGAAGGCCCUAGGGUCGUAAACCCCUGUCAGGUGGGACGAACCGUGGGUCGGCGAAUAGCCGGCCCGCCUGACAGUACCACCAGAGGAAGCUCCGGCUAACUCCGUGCCAGCAGCCGCGGUAAUAC